AUGGGCUGAAGAUGGAUGCCCCAACUUUACAGAGGAACUUUGGGUGACUGUCCAGGAGACUAUGCCUGGUACCAGAAACACCUUGGCACUCCUCUCAUCAAGACAUGUUAACUACUUUCGGCUCCUUGAAUCUGGCCUCUGUGAGACUCUGCUGCAAGUAAGUCAAAGCAGCAGAAGCCAUGAGACACAAGCUCUGCGACUGCCAGACCACGCUGCUUCUGCCCAGUCCCUUAUUCUUGAGGAGCCCACCUAUACCCCCAUGGGAGAACUCUAGUGCCCCUGGGACUUCUGUGCCUCUGAAGCCACGUGCAUAGGCUUCUGGCCAACAGCUCAACUGAGUUUCCAGUCAACAGACAGUGCCAGCUGCCAGGCACAUACACAAGCCAACCUGGAUAUCCAGUUCCAACAGCCCAGCCACCAUCUGACUGCAGCCUCAUGGGAGACAUUGAGUUCUGCCAGCCUGUUUCUAUAUCUGACUCUUGUGGCAUAAUAAUUAAUUUCAACCACUAAAUUUGGGGGAGAUAUACCACAAAAUUAAUACUAACAUGACCCAUUAUCUCUGGGGGUUACUAUUCUAGAAAAACCUAUGAAUUCUGCUUCUCUAUUCCCUAAUCAAGCAAUUGAGUCCUUUGUCAGUUUUCAAAGCAAGGGUGCAGACGAACCCAGUAGCUCACCACUCCUUUAGUCCAUAAACCCAAACAAAUUCUGGAGCCUGUACAUGGAUAACCCACCAAGAUGAAAGGGGCUGCCCCCACUUAAUGAAGGCAAGAAAGAUAAAGCCUGUCUAAAAUGAGAGCUAUAAUCAUCAGAGGCUUCUGAAACAUGAUGUUUCCUAGGUACUGAACAAAGACUUGGUUACUAGAAAGGUUCAGAAAUUCUUCUCCUCAGAAAGGAAAUGAGGGGGGGAAAAAAAACCUUCACAGAAACAUUGUGAUUGAAGGCAACUCCACCCCCACACCGGGCUGCAAUGCUGACUUCAUCCCCUGCAACGGCGCUGUGACUAAUUUCUGACAAUUACUCCAAACUUCUGAAUAUUCCCCCCAGCCAAGACAGCAGUAGGAAACCUUUCCAUAUGGCCAAAUCUUUCCACAGUCGGUAGUGUUUACAGGAUUCGUAAAUUAGACCUUUCACUUGUAUAAAAGGAAAGAAUUGCACAUGGGACCAUUUGUUCUUCCUCGUUUCGUUCCCUUCCAUCUGAAUCACGCAGUGUUCUUCGUGUGUUCCUGUCCCUGUCCAACAGCAAGGUGGAGGCUUCUUGGGCUGUGCCCUUGUUACCAUUCAACCCUCAACACUCUGUGUUUGGCAAGAUUAGCUUGGACUGAGUGGCACUUUUUAGAGGACUGUGCUGUCAUCACAGGUCAUUUUUCUUCCCAGCCUGGCAUGCUAGACCAGGGUAUUCUCAGGUCAGGAGCAUCCAAAACAGAGCUCUGACUCUCCAAGUGGCUGCUGGUUGGCAGUUUCCUAUGCCUGUCCUCGAAACCGAGAACUGUCCUUGGGUCAUCCCCACCCCCACCCCCACCCCUACCCCCACAUGAGAAAUCUCGUUGAGAAGAUAGGUUGGAAACUCAGAGAGGCCAUGGCUUGCAAGCUGUAAUCAGAGAAGCCACAAAGACAUACCUAGGGUUACCACUGAGAGUACAAGUGGGAGAAUGAGAUGAGUAGCCCUUGAGCACACCCCUUCCCACCCAUGCAACAACCAGAGCACUUCAACUUUCCCUUGGUUUGCAUGUUUGGCUUGAAAUAUUUAAUCUCCAGAAAAGAUAAUGUUUCUUCUACCAACUAUUUGCAUGCCCCUGCAGAACAGAAUGAGGAGGAACUUUGGGGUCCAGGCCCUGUGGUCCUUAAGCCCCACCCUUUACUGAUUCUCUAUGACUGUCAUCUCAGUUCUUCUGUAAGAUGGAGGUAACAAUGCCAACCCCACAGGCAUAGAGGAGACCAGGUGAGAUGUAAUCUAAUAACUGACUAAUUCUAGUAGCUCAAUCAACACUGAAAUUCAGAGCUUUAAAGGGCUGGGGUUUUGUUUUGUUUUGUUUUUUUCGAAGUAGGUUAUUGCAUACAGAAAUGGGCUUCAUUGUGACAUUUUCACACAUUCAUAUCUUUAUGGUUUGCUCCCAUUGCUAGUGCCCCCACCCUCCCCAUCUCACCUCCCAGAAAAGUUCUCUGCUCCACUCAAAGUAUAUACACCUUCCAUUACCUUCUCUUAUCCCCCCUGCUCCCUUUAGACCUAACUAUCCCCACCCCAGUGGUCCCUUUCCACCUGCAUGUCAUAUAUAUGAUGCUCAGAUUUAAGUUGGCUUUCUAUGUAUGAGAGGAAUCCUGGUGUUUGAGUCUGACUUGUUUCAUUUAACAUAAUGAUAUCCAGUUCCAUCCACUUUCCUGCAAAAGUCAUGAUUUCAUUUCUUUGCAGCUGAAUAAAAUUGUAUUUUGCACGUUUUCCCUGUUUUCUUUAUCCAUUCAUCUGUUUGAUGGGCAUGUGUAGUUAUUAUGAAGUGUGGCAAUAAACAUAGAUGUAUACAUACAUCUGUAGUAUGCUAACUUAGACUUCUUUGUGUAUUUACCCAGGAGUGGUAUAGGUAGAUCAUUUAGUAGUUAUAGUUUCAGUUUUUUUUUUUUUUUUUUUUUUUAGUAAUCUCUACACUGAUUUCCAAAGUGGCUACACAAAUCUCCAUUGACACAAGUAGUAUAUAAGGAUAUCUGUCUUCCCAGGUCCAUACCAGCAUUUGCUGUCAUUUGUUUUCUUGAUGAUAGCCAUUAUGACUGGGGUGAGAUGAACUUUCAAUGAGAUCUUAACUUGCAUUUCUCUGAUGGAUAAGGAUAUUAAAUACUUUUUCACAUAUUUAUUGGCGUUUAUAUUUCUUUCUUGGAGAACUGUCUGCUUAAUUCACUUAUUGACUGAAUGAUUUGGAUUUUGGGGGGUAUUUAAUUUUUUGGAUACAACAUUUUGUUUAUAGAUUCCAUAUAUCAAUUCCCUAUUGGAUAAGAGCUGGGAAAGAUUUUUUUCCAUUCUGUAGACUGGCUUUUCACUCAAUUGAUGGUUUAUUUGCUGUCUGGGAGUUUCUUAAUUUCAAGUGACCUAUUUGUCAGUUCUUAGGAUUAUUUCCAGUUUAUUAGAAUCCUUUUUUAGGAAGUUAUUGUCUAUACCUAAACCUUCAAGUGUUUUCCCCUACCAGUUUCAGGGGGCUUCAGGUCUGUAGUAAGAUCUUUGAUCCAUUUUAUGUAGGGUAGGAGAUAUAGAUCUAGUUUCACUACUGUUCCUGUGAAUUUCCCCAGCACUAUUUGCUGAAGAAGCUUUUCUCCCUAUACACGUUUUUAACACUUUUCUUAACACUUAUGGACUGUAAGUACAGGGCUGUAUUUUGGGGUCCUCUAUGCUUGCUCUAUGUGUCUGUUUUUUAUGCCAGUACUAGCCUGUUUUUGUUACUAUAGAUCCAUUGUAUAAUUUGAGAUCAGAUACUGUGAUGCCUCUAAGAAUUGCUCUUUCCACUUAAGAUUGCUUUGGGCAUUUAGGUUCUUAUGUACUUCCCAUAUGAAUAAGAUUUCUUUCCUGUUUCUGUGAAAAAUAUCAUUGGAAUUUUGGUAGGGUUGCAUCAGGUCUGUAAAUCACUUUCAUAAAUACUGCUGUCUUCAUCAAUUUAAUUCUGCCAAUCCAUUAAUAUGGGAGUUCUUUCCAUCUUCUGGUUCUUCUUCAAUGUCUUUCUUCAGAGUUUUAAACUUUCUAUUGUAAAGGUCUUUUACCUUCUUGCUUAGAUUUGUUCUUUGGCUUUUUUUUUUUUUUUGUAAAGCUAUUGUGGGUGGGAUUCUCUUCUUCUCUUUCUUUCUCAGCAUUUUCAUUAUUGAUAUAUAAAGAGGCUACCGACUUUGUGUGUUGAUACUGUAUCCUGCUAUUUUCUUAAAGUGCUUAUCAUGAAUAAAAGUUUUAUGGUGGAA